rnacentral:tRNA from 1 species
GCAGUGGUAGGUCAAUUGUAGAAUUCUCACCUUCCAUGUGGGAUACCAGGGUUUGAUUCCUGGCCAGUGCA